rnacentral:lncRNA from 1 species
AAACCUGUGCGCUGGUCGGCCUGGGUUGCGGCUCCUGGGAAGCCAAAACGUGAAAUGGGGUUUCCAUCCUGUCUUCCUAGAGGAAAUAAAAUUCAGGUCGAAGACAGUUCCCAGGGUAGCAGUAGUCUCUAACUGGGCAAAUAGUGUCGGAGAAUAGGCUUCCUCAAAUUAAGGGAAAAAAAAAAGAAAAAACCCCAAACCAAACCAAACUAAAAUAAACCCUAAAAUAUUGACUCGGGCAAAAGAGAGCUACUCAACACGGGAACGGAACAAAAGAAACAACUUCACAAAGUCACACUGACUGUGUAACAGGUUUAAAAAAUGAAUGGGUCCUGAAGCAACGAUAACUCAUUUUUGACAAAUGGAUGGACAAAUUAUAGCUUACCAGGAAUGACCAGAAAAAAGAAUUAACUUAUUUGAGAAGCUAAGCAUGAUCAGAAAACGUAUCAUCUCUUUGUAGAUCAGUUCUUAACAGUAGAAUAAGUAAUCCCUCUUCCUUUGUCCUCAAAUUACUUUCGUUCAGGUUAGUCACUUCUGUGAUUUACAAGUUAAGCGGUAGUUUAUUGCUGUCUUGCUUUUCUGACAGAAGAAAUAAAUAACAAUGCCCCGGGUUUUUGCAACGUAAACAUCCAGGAUAUAUCCUACGGGAGUCCAUGGCUCUGAAAUUAAUCUCCUUACCAAGCAAAAUUUACUGGGAGCCCUCCUUGAAAUAACUGAAUAAAAAAGAAAUAUUGGUCUCCCGGAAGUAGAGCUCUUGACACAUUAAAUAUCUCUUCAGUCCAUUUCCAAAGAUGAAAGAUACAGCCCUUCGCUGGGUGCCUUCUCUGAUGGUUUGCUCGGUGGUAGAUGUCUGUUUGCUGUAAUCUGCUGUCAGGCAUACCCGUCCACUCCUCCUGAACCCUGCUCUGAUGGCAGGCAUGACUGUGGCCAUCAGGAUGGCUUCUCAUGAAAUAUAGAGGACAGAGAUGUUCCAGUCUUAUCAUGGCCUUGGCAAAUUGAUUUUUCGUUCCCGGAUUGAGCCAUUUUCCCCAUGCUUCUCAGCCAUAUUCAGCCACAUUUAUUGCACCUCCACCCCAACCCCCUUUUAACAUAUCCCUUUUUUCCCUAACGUAAAUGCUCCGAAAUUCCAGUCACCACUUCUUAGUAAUUUCUGACGGACGUUUCAUGUUUUUCAGAAUGCGGAGCUGUGAUAUUUGAGUACUAAACAAAUGUUUUGCAUGAGUUUAGACACCUAGGGACAGUGUUAGCCGGUAAUUUUCAAGUUUGGAUGUUGAAGGGAUGGCGACUUAUCACAGGGAAAAUUAAUUACGUGCAAUGAAAAGGUUGUAGUGUAGAACUGUCAUCCACUUUGAAGCUUCAAGGGAACGCGAUUUAAUGUGAUAGGAACUGUGACUGUAAAACAAAAAUAUGUGCAGCUGCAGUUGGUGCCCACAUUUUUGGUUUUGAUGCUCAUUUACCAGUACUAAGAAACUGAAAUCUGAAAAUGCCUUCUUUCAGAUCACCUGGUGGCUCUAACUUUUGCAAAAGUCGUGGAAAGCCUAAUGUAUAAUAAUAUGUAAUGGCUGCCAAGCUAGGUCGGCGCAGAGACCGGGUUGGGUAGUGUCACUCCCACCUUUCCUCUGCAGGGAAGUGGCAUUUUACAGCCCAGACAGCUCUGCAGGGUUUCUAAUGGCCUACAGCAGCCCCAUCGCCAUACCUGGAG